GUAGGACGAGCGGCUUAUAACGUCCUGGUAAACGCUGAUAUAUUUGGCGCUGAAUCAUUGUUACAUUAUUCCAGAGAAUUAGCUGCAGCACGAAGCGCGCCAUUCCUCGUCCCGCUGUCCGCUGCCGCAGAUUUACUUUCUUCUAGAUAUAACGUUAUAGCUCCAAAGGUGGAAAAUUCCCAGGAUCGACGCUGCCAGAAGUGGAGAACAACAGAGGAGCUGGACGCUGCCAGAAUCGGAGAGAACAACAGAGGAGCUGGAAGAGGAGAAAUGUUAUAAGAACUUUACAGACAGCAGAGAUGGAACAAAUGUGAACAGAACAGUGAUAAUAAGAAAGUUCUCCCUGCUAAACCAGAGAGAGGCAAGACAAGGCGGGAUAAUACCAUGAAUGGAGGCAAAACACGUAACGCAGAGCGGAGAUCACGGGGGCCGCGCGGAGGAGAAGAUUAAUGUCACCAGAGAGAUUUGCAUAAGUAAUUAUUGGAGCGGUGACGGCUCUGACAGGCAUUGAAGUGGCAGCCAGAGUGCGAAGGACGAGUGUCGGGCCGGUGAUAUCUGGUCAUCCGCGGUGUAAAUGAAGACAAAUACGAGGACCCUGCCCCCACUGACCGCACCGCCACCUUCAUAUCCCUCCGCUCCCAUCACUCCUCCAAAUCUGCUACUUCAGUCUCCAUCGGGCCCAGACCGCCAUGAUGACCCCUUCCAGCCUCGUCUCUGCAGAAUAAAAUGCACAAAAACCUUCUGCUCCUUGUUUUUCCAGCUCCCUGACAGGUAUCUUACCC